rnacentral:rRNA from 1 species
AUGAAAUUUUAUGUGAUAUCAUUGUGUUAUGAAGGCCUGAAAGCAAAUGUGCAUACUGGUGCUCCUCCUCCAUGGUUAGAAGCUAGUGAGCAUGAUCCAAAGAAUGUGUCACUCGCCAGCUAUGCUCUUCCAUCUUCUCUGAAAGGAAAAUCAAGAAAACUUAACCCAAAGCGUGUUGGAGCUGCAUGGGCAGAGAGAAGAAGAGCUGAAAUGGAGAUGGAAAAGCGAGGUGAGGUCGUUGCAGAAACGCCUGAUGCUAGUUGGCUCCCUAAUUUUGGUGGUGUCUGGCAAUCUGGUUCACGAAAGGAAUCGAGGAAAGAGUUUGAGAAAAAUCAUAAGCUUAAAGAGGAGAACAAUCCUGAGUUACUCCCUGAGAUAAAACCAUAUAUCAGCAAAAGGAUGGUAAGUGUGUUCUCUCACUUUCUCCUCUGUCUUUUCUAUAUGUUUACUUUGGUAUUCAGGAUUUCCGUGUGCAAGUAA